ANCGCGNCUANCAUGCAGUCGACGAUGAUCUCCCGCUUGCGGGGGUGAUUAGUGGCGAACGGGUGAGUAAUACGUGAGUAACCUGCCCUUGACUCUGGGAUAAGCCUGGGAAACCGGGUCUAAUACUGGAUACGACCUCCUGUCGCAUGGUGGGGGGUGGAAAGGGUUUGACUGGUUUUGGAUGGGCUCACGGCCUAUCAGCUUGUUGGUGGGGUAAUGGCUCACCAAGGCGACGACGGGUAGCCGGCCUGAGAGGGUGACCGGCCACACUGGGACUGAGACACGGCCCAGACUCCUACGGGAGGCAGCAGA
rnacentral:rRNA from 1 species